rnacentral:rRNA from 1 species
CCUGGCUCAGGAUUAGAUACCCUGGGAGUCAUGAGUUUUAACCUGGCUCAGGAUUAAAUACCCUGGGAGUCAUGCGGUUUAUCUCUUAAUAAGCGCUGGAACGGCGUAUAAUACUGGAUACGAAACUGGCCCGCAUGGGCAUGGUUUGGAAAGUUUUUCGGUUUGGGAUGGGCUCGCGGCCUAUCAGCUUGUUGGUGAGGUAAUGGCUCACCAAGGCGACGACGGGUAGCCGGCCUGAGAGGGCGACCGGCCACACUGGGACUGAGACACGGCCCAGACUCCUACGGGAGGCAGCAGUGGGGAAUAUUGCACAAUGGGCGAAAGCCUGAUGCAGCGACGCCGCGUGAGGGAUGACGGCCUUCGGGUUGUAAACCUCUUUCAGCAGGGAAGAAGCGAAAGUGACGGUACCUGCAGAAGAAGCACCGGCUAACUACGUGCCAGCAGCCGCGGUAAUACGUAGGGUGCGAGCGUUGUCCGGAAUUAUUGGGCGUAAAGAGCUUGUAGGCGGUUUGUCGCGUCUGCUGUGAAAAUCCGGGGCUCAAAUCCGGACUUUCAGUGGGCCCGGGCAUCCUAGAGUUUGGUAGUUAAAACCCUUAUUAGUCGUGAGUUUGAUCAGGGCGCAGGUUUAGAUACCCUGGUAGUCCUGAGUUUGAUCCGGGCUCAGGAUUAGAUACCCUGGUAGUC